rnacentral:rRNA from 1 species
CGCCCUUAGAGUUUGAUCAUGGCUCAGAUCGAACGCUGGCGGCAGGCCUAACACAUGCAAGUCGAGCGGAGGGGAGCUUGCUCCUUUCAGCGGCGGACGGGUGAGUAAUGCCUAGGAAUCUGCCUGGUAGUGGGGGAUAACGUUCCGAAGGGAACGCUAAUACCGCAUACGUCCUACGGGAGAAAGCAGUUCGUUGCGCUAUCAAAUGAGCCUAGGUCGGAUUAGCUAGUUGGUGAGGUAAUGGCUCACCAAGGCGACGAUCCGUAACUGGUCUGAGAGGAUGAUCAGUCACACUGGAACUGAGACACGGUCCAGACUCCUACGGGAGGCAGCAGUGGGGAAUAUUGGACAAUGGGCGAAAGCCUGAUCCAGCCAUGCCGCGUGUGUGAAGAAGGUCUUCGGAUUGUAAAGCACUUUAAGUUGGGAGGAAGGGCAGUAAUAAUUUGCUGUUUUGACGUUACCAACAGAAUAAGCACCGGCUA